rnacentral:rRNA from 1 species
AGAGUUUGAUCCUGGCUCAGAACGAACGCUGGCGGCAGGCUUAACACAUGCAAGUCGAGCGCUUUCCGGUCUUUCGGGGCUGGGGGGAGCGGCGCACGGGUGAGUAACGCGUGGGAACCUGUCCUGUGGUUUGGAAUACCUCCGGGAAACUGGAGUUAAUGCCGGAUGUGUCCUGAGGGACAAAGAUUUAUCGCCAUGGGGUGGGCCCGCGUCCGAUUAGCUAGUUGGUGGGGUAACGGCCUACCAAGGCAUCGAUCGGUAGCUGGUCUGAGAGGAUGAUCAGCCACACUGGGACUGAGACACGGCCCAGACUCCUACGGGAGGCAGCAGUGGGGAAUAUUGGACAAUGGGGGCAACCCUGAUCCCAGCCAUGCCGCGUGAGUGAUGAAGGCCUUCGGGUUGUAAAGCUCUUUCGGGUACGACGAUGAUGACGGUAGUACCAGAAGAAGCCCCGGCUAACUUCGUGCCAGCAGCCGCGGUAAUACGAAGGGGGCGAGCGUUGUCCGGAAUUACUGGGCGUAAAGGGCGCGUACGCGGCGCACCAAGUCAGGCGUGAAAGCCCUGGGCUUAAUCCAGGAACUGCGUUUGAGACCCGGCGUGCCUGGAGUGUGGGAGAUGGUCGGCCGGAAAUUCCUAGUUGUAGACGGUGGAAUUCCGCUAAAACGAUUAAGGACCGAACCCCGCGCUCGCCGAAAGGGCGGUCUCGAUUUUGGAACCGGUCCCCUGACCCCCUUAANGGCCCGAACCACCCGU